rnacentral:rRNA from 1 species
GACGAACGCUGGCGGCGUGCCUAAUACAUGCAAGUCGAACGAGAGCGACCGGUGCUUGCCCUGGUCAAUCUAGUGGCGAACGGGUGAGUAACACGUGGGUAACCUGCCCAUCAGAGGGGGAUAACAUUCGGAAACGGAUGCUAAAACCGCAUAGGUCUUCGAACCGCAUGGUUUGAAGAGGAAAAGAGGCGCAAGCUUCUGCUGAUGGCUAGACCCGCGGUGCAUUAGCUAGUUGGUGAGGUAACGGCUCACCAAGGCCGUGAUGCAUAGCCGACCUGAGAGGGUGAUCGGCCACAUUGGGACUGAGACACGGCCCAAACUCCUACGGGAGGCAGCAGUAGGGAAUCUUCCGCAAUGGACGCAAGUCUGACGGAGCAACGCCGCGUGAGUGAAGAAGGUUUUCGGAUCGUAAAACUCUGUUGUUAGAGAAGAACAAGUGCUAGAGUAACUGUUAGCGCCUUGACGGUAUCUAACCAGAAAGCCACGGCUAACUACGUG